rnacentral:lncRNA from 1 species
GGAGAGGGUGACUGCCUGAGUUGUGAGGACCGAGUAAUCCAUCCCUCGAGAAGAAGACUCGUGAAUGUCCUGUGUGUGCAGAUCAACAGUAUUCUGCUUCUCAAUUAGAAUAAUACACGCCUCUCCCAAGAGCUCCAAUGAUCAGUCUCAAACUCCAAGGUCAGGGGUCAGCCACCACUACCUGGGAUAAUGCUAGUAUCAGUCUCAGCCCAGCUCCUGAUUACUGUCUAAGCUGCCGCAGAGGUUUGUGUUUCCAGAGGUCCCUCAGAAGCUGAUCCUGAUUCAGCCCUUAAAGACUCCUGAAGGCUAAGGGGAUGGUGAGGGUACUGAAAGUGGAGGAGUCCAAACUUGCUGAACUGUGAGGUAACCAUGGUUGACAGAGGAAGAACAAUGA